GUUGUAGCUCAGUGGUAGAGUGCUUGCUUUGCAUGCAUGACGCCCUGGGUUUGAUCCUCAGCACCACA
rnacentral:tRNA from 1 species